CAAACUGUUUUAGUAUCUAUUUUAAAUUUUUUCACAUUUGUGCAGCCUGGUCAUUGUGGGCCGACUAUUACGUGACCACCGUCAGCACCCUGUCACAUUAUUAAUGAAUUUGACCUGUUUUGUAUUUAUAAUUCCACCAUCCAGCAAAGCAUUGUAGGAAAUCAAAGUCUUAAAACUGAACUGAUUUAACCACAAGAGUAAUUGAAUGAUAUAAAUAGUCAAACUCAUUGAACUUUUACAUAUACAGCUUCCUGUUAAGAAUUGUUAUACUCUACUUUUCAAAACUAUGCAGUCAUGAUUCAGUUAUGAACAGAGAAACAGGCAACUGUGCAAAUAAUGAGGGCUGUGAGAUGUGUGCUUGGAUGGGAGGAAAUGGGUAGAGAAGGGUGAUGGUGGAAAUAAGUUAAAAAGAUAAGAGUAGAUGCAGGACUUGUGAUGGUGUGUCUUUAGGCAUUUCUGUUUGCUUGUUCCUGGUGUGUGUGUUUUGUUCUUGUAAUCAGAAGUGUGGCUCUCUAACGUGGAUGUAAGGAAGGGACAAGAAAAGGGGUAGGGGGAGAACAGAAGAAGUGGCUGUCACUAGAUGGCAGAACAAGCUUGGCUGAGAGCAACUGAGGAGCUGCUGCGGGCCUUUGCAGUGGAUUUUACAGCACAUAGGGCUGCUUAGCCAUUUGUUUUACUUUUUUUUUUUUCUCUCCCCUCUUGCAGCACGCAGGAUAGUCCUGCCUGUGAGCCAUAGGGCCCUCAUGACCGUGGCAGCUCCAUCCUCUCCUGUUCUGUCAUUCAGAAGUAGUAAGAGUCAGGUAGAAGGAAGAGGGACACUGUUCUGAACAGCAAGCUCUUUCCUUAAAUCUGCUUUUCUCUGUAGCGUCAGUAAUUGCUCAUUUUCAGCAGGGUGGUUUUAAAAGCUCCAUAAAGAGGUAAAUGCAGUGAGUAAAGUCCAAUAGCCUAAUGUUGGAUUAAAUAGUACAGUGAGAAGGACUGUUACAGCAAGUCGUGAUGAGGAUGACAACAUUCUGGGAUGUGCACUACAAAUCAAACAUUGCACUCACUGAAUCUUUAGUUAGUUAACUGUGUUCUUUUGCAUGUUCUGCCUUUGACUACAGACCAUGACAGAGCAUUUCACCAAAUGAGUCUUUCUGAACUACAGAUAAAACACCAAAUUUUGUCCGUCGUUUUUGAAAAGAGAAAUUUCAUUCGACAUUUUGAAACAAAAAUGCUAUUUAUUUGCAUAUUUCUGAAGAUAAAUUGUCUUUAGCACUUUCUAAGGAACUCACUCACCACUAAGUGAUUGAUCUAAUAUCAUUUGGAACUUUAGGAGAGUAUGAGACUCUGACAGAGAAUCUCUCAUAAGGUGUCUCUCAGGGAGAGUUACAGAAGCAACAGAUAAAGUUAGCAUGCCAGAUGUAGCGAUAUGUUGAGUGGUGUCCAUUCCCAAAGCAAAAUCUGGACUUAUGUAUCCCUGUUAAAGUGGUGGGAAAUAAUCUAGGUUUGUGCUGAUGUCAAUGAGAAUAAAAUGUAGCUGCUUGUUGCUUGCUCAGACUCAUAACACUUUGCCAGGCAGAGGGUGUUGACAGAAUGGGAAAAUCUAGGUCGGCCUAAAACAAUCCAGUUUACACUACUAAAAGAAAAUAAAACAUUUAUUUGUGCUCAUCCAGCUAGUUGCAAUAAGGAGAUGGUGAUGGGGAACAAUGAUCUGAAAGGUAUCUGGGGACAAAUUAAACCUUACUGAAAUGCUACAGGUGCUGUGGCUUAUUUGUGAACCAAUGUAAAAGAGCUAUGACACAGGAAAGGAAUGUGUUCUAAAGACUUGCUCAAGAAGCAGAGUCAGAAGUCAGACACUACUUCCUCAUUCCUGCCAUUGGAAUGUAAAAACUCAGCCUGCAAAACCCCACUGCCAUUACGUACCUCCUCCUACCCUGACACACUCAAAGUCCUUAGAAAACACUGAUUAACUAAGUUGAAAAAUAUGUUUGUGAGCUGUUGUAAUACAUAAAACUGAAUUUUAGGACUCAGUCGGGUGCUAACUUGGUAGUUGCUACUAAUAUACAAGAGUAGAGACUUUUGUGGGGAUAGAAUUGAGAAGAUGGAAACUCUCAGUCCUGUAGCCAUAGUACAGUCCUGUCAGAAAUGUAUUACAGUUAGGCUCACUUAUGCUCUUAAACUUCUUUUAGUAACCUUAGUGGCAUUUGGAAUGUAAAAGAAUGGAAAUUGAUCCCAGCAAAAGAGUGGUAAGCGUAGACUAGAAGUAAUUCUUAAUAAUACCUGUCUGCUUCUCAAGGAAUGCAGUGGAACAUCUAUGCACAAAUAAAGCUUAUUCAUUGGGAAAAAAAAGAAAACAAAACAAAAAAAAGAAAAAUAAGCAUUGAGUUCAAUAUAGAGUUAGGGUGGAAGCAAAGAGUAGAAAAUAAGAAUGUUCUUCCUAAAUUUUCCCUAAACUAAACAAUUACUUAAUCUAAAUAAAUGCUGUUUUGAAAUUGACCUACAUUUGAUUUUGUAAUUUAAUGAUAAACUUAAAAAAAUAAUAAUUUUAAAUCUUCUAAAAUUGAAACAGGUAACACAGAUUUUUUUCCAGUAACCCAAAAUGAUCACAGUUUGUUAGUUUUUGAUUAUAGGUGGAUGCCAACCAACAUUUUCUGUAGUUUUUGUUCAGAGUACUAAAAAAAUUGUGUAUUUGUCACUUUUAAUGAAACUCAUACAUUCAAUAUACUCAAUCUGCUUAUAGUAAACAAAUACAUAGAUACAAAGCAAAGUUGUUUAAUUAGUCUGCCUAGAGAAGAUAGAAGAAGCUACAUUUCCAUGCCAAAACUAUGGUUUUCCUGUGUUUGCAGACUCAUCAAUCAAAAUUGACAGUAUGAUUUGUAAGAGCUGCAGCUGACAACUUUUUGAAUCCCAUUUGUCUGAUAUGCCUAUUAACUGCUUCAGUACCAGCAGGACAGCAAUCUAAACAAAUUCAUCUGCGCCCUUACAGCAGAAGAACCUGGCAUAUUGGUCCUGGGUUCUGCAGAAGACGAGGGAUAUUUUUCCACUGACCCUUGUGAUCUUUGGACCAAGUCUGUUACUUGCUGUUGUUCCCCAAGGGCUCACAGACAGGCAGUGCGCUCAGGGGGCUUUUCCACUUGGAGGCAGAAUCAGAACGUCUUUCUUGAGGACAGACUGAAGGAUGAGGCUUUCAGAUCUCUGCAGGAUGUCAUCCAGGGGACUUCUUCCCAUGUUCUCACUUGCUUCUGGAAGGGGCUGCCCCCCAUUGAGGCAAACACUGGAUAAGGUUACUGGUUGUUAAGAGUCCUGUGGUACAGCAACAGUGAAGGUCAGAAUCCCAUUAUGACAAUGUGAUGACCAAACAAGGCAGUGACUGUUGAACCAGAACUCCCGUUGGAAGGAGACACUUACUGUUCAAACUGCAGUGCCUUUGCUUCUUCCGUUCUUAGAUUGUUCUCACCUCCCUGAUGGACAGAACAGAGAGAGCCCAAAGGGAAGCUUUAUCCACGGUGUUCCUGUGAAUCACCUUUGCCCGGCUACCUUAGCUUGGACAGUCCAGUUUUCUUUCUGUUACUCAGGUUCUUCCCAGCAACUCCCUUAAGAAAAAUUGUACAAGGACAGGACCAAGAAAGCAUGUGGAGGCACAGUGGUCUGUAUCUACAGGAUUGGGGACUCUCAUCUUACUGAAGGGCCUGGCUAACAAACCAAGGAUGGUAUCAUAAGAACUGACCAGGAUAGUGUUUUCUUGCCGUGUCUGGAUCCAUGUCCUCUCUGCACACCCUGUGACUGUAACUUCAAGUGGCAGUGCUUGAAUUCAGCAUGCAGUUCUUGUCUUCCAUGUACACCCGGGCAUGUCACCCAGGGCAUUGCUCUAAGUUCAGGUCACACUUGAGAGUGUGAACUGGGGGAGGAACGGGGAGAGAAAAGAUAGCUGGGAGGGGUAAGGAAGGGACUUGGGUGGGAAAGAUAUUGGCUUGUGUUCGUUAAUUCUUGAUCUUUAAGGGGGAAAAAAUGGAAAAAGUAAUGAGUGCUGGUUUGAAAUAAAACAGUCAAAUUGUA